rnacentral:rRNA from 1 species
GGGAGGCAGCAUGGGGAAUAUUGGACAAUGGGCGAAAGCCUGAUCCAGCCAUGCCGCGUGAGUGAAAAGGUCUUCGGAUUGUAAAGCACUUUAGGCCGGGAGGAAGGGCAUUAACUUAAUACGGUAGUGUAAUGACGGUACCGACAGAAUAAG